rnacentral:rRNA from 1 species
GACGAACGCUGGCGGCGUGCUUAACACAUGCAAGUCGAACGGAAAGAUCCGGCGCUUGUGGGUUGCACGUUUGGCGAACGGGUGAGUAAAACAUGAGUAACCUCCCCCUGACAGUGGGAGAACACCACGAGACAGGGGCGAAUAUCGGAUAGAAUAUCCUGCUGCGCGGGGGUGGUUGGAAAGAGUCGGCGGUUGUGGAUGGACUAGCUGGUUAUCAGCUGGAUGGGGGGGUAGUGGCUUACCAAGGCUUUGAAGGGUAGCCGGCCUGAGAGGGUGGCCGGCCACCUUGGUACUGCGGUACGGCCCAGACUCCUACGGGCGGCAGCAGUGGGGAGUCUUGCGCAACGGGGGGGAGCCUGAUGCAGAGACGUCGCGUUCGUAAUGCCGUCCUUCGGGUUGUAAACCGCUGUCGCCUGUGCCGUGCCGUGCGUGACGGUACUGGGUCAAGAAGCCCCGGCUAACUACGUG